GGCUAUAUAGUUUAAAUAAAACAUUAAUUUUGUAAAUUAAAAUUAGAGAAAUUUUAUAGCUU
rnacentral:tRNA from 1 species